CUCCUGGAAGACCAUCGCCAAAUUUCAAAUUCCACGUACUUCCAACAUCGGUUCCAGUCGCCAUAUUGUGUGCUUGACUACUGAAAAAUAGUGCUGUUGAUAAGAUUAUCUGAAGUGAUUGUGGAUUUAUGUGGAGAUCAUAAAAAGUCUCUGCAGUAUAAAAGAUCAUACUGUUUGGCGCUUUGUCAGGAAGGGAAUGGCUGAUACUUGGAAGUUUUGGCGUUUGAAGGAAUUUUUGCUGAAGCCUAAUGAAUGAGGAUGAAUUUAUCACAGAUAAUGGAGGUAGAUGGACGACGAUGCUGGAGUGUAGAAGAAGCAUGAUUAUUAUACUCUGUUGCGAAUGGAAAAGUAUUCUACUGCAGCUCGUACAGUAAUGGAACUAAGAGGCACAAAUUCCAGUAACUAAUGUGGUUCAGGAUAAAUCUAGUAACCUCAGGUGAUAAAAUGUCUACAACAGAAUGCCCUGUGUAUUGCUCCUGCAGCCUGUUCCAUUGAUGUAACUAAAGUAUUUAAAAUAUUUUGGGACAGCAUGUUACAGAAAUUCUGUCUUGAAUAAUAAAUUACUCUAAUUUUAUCAACAAAAGUUUAAUAAAUUAAUCUGUGUUGUAAUGAACUGUAAAUUCAUAAAAAAGUUUAAUAAAUAUUAUAGUAA